GCCAUAGAGGAUGGUACGUGUUUUAGGGCUUACUGGUCUCAUUUCAGUCAUGAUUAAUGAAUUGAAGAGUGUCUGGCCUUUGCUAUAUUUGUGUCUUCUCGCCUGAAAUCUGCUUGAAUAUGUCCAGCAUGCACAGGUGAUGCGUAUUUAUACCUUCCUUGACAUCACAAUCGAUUUGACGAGAGCCAAUGAAAUUGCUCUUAAAGCUGGUCCAGAUGUCAUUGUUACUUUUUAGUGGCUGAGUUGCAAUGGAGAUCCAUGGACCCUCAUCCUCAGCCAAUCAGAGGGCUUGUAGUUAUGAGGCUGAUAUGGAUAUGCUGGUGGAUAAUGCA